AUUGAACGCUGGCGGCAGGCCUAACACAUGCAAGUCGAGCGGAUGAAGGGAGCUUGCUCCUGGAUUCAGCGGCGGACGGGUGAGUAAUGCCUAGGAAUCUGCCUGGUAGUGGGGGAUAACGUCCGGAAACGGGCGCUAAUACCGCAUACGUCCUGAGGGAGAAAGUGGGGGAUCUUCGGACCUCACGCUAUCAGAUGAGCCUAGGUCGGAUUAGCUAGUUGGUGGGGUAAAGGCCUACCAAGGCGACGAUCCGUAACUGGUCUGAGAGGAUGAUCAGUCACACUGGAACUGAGACACGGUCCAGACUACUACGGGAGGCAGCAGUAGGGAAUAUUACGCAAUGGGCGAAAGCCUGAAGGAGCAAAGCAGCGGGAGUGAUGAAGGUCUUCGGAUCGUAAAACUCUGUUAGUAGGGAAGAACAAAUGUGUAAGUAACUAUGCACGUCUUGACGGUACCGAAUCAGAAAGCCACGGCUAACUACGUG
rnacentral:rRNA from 1 species